rnacentral:lncRNA from 1 species
CAAGAAGAUGGACGUGUUUCUUUUUUUCCACUCUAGAUUUUUAUUGAUGGCCCUCCCACCCCUCCAUCCUAAUUAUAUAGACAUCAGUAAAAACAGAACAACACCAGAAUCUCAAUCUCCACACAUGUUAUUACAGUCACAUGUUACCCAUUGCUGCAGGACAUUGUGAAAACUGCUACUCUUAAUGAAUCCUCUGAGAGUUGCCAUCCUAAAAACAUCCCAGUCUUUAAAUGUAGGACCUUUCCAUGAGAGUAGGAAUCCUUCUGCAGUAGCAUCAUUCCCACCACACAACAGCAUAGAAAGAUUGUCGUAUAUUGAGCGCUGACCUCCUUGACUAAAUGUGUUUUAUUGUUGAAAGGUCCAAUGCAGCCUUUUUAAUCGCAAUAUACAAUUAUUUCAUGGUAAUAGUAAAGUACCUUACUGUGAUUUAAAUUAAAAUGGUCAAAAAGAAGCAAAAAUAACUUCUUAGCAAAGAGCAAUUUCUCAAGCAAGAAUUUAACUAGGACUGUCUGGGAGUGGUCUGAGUGGGGAGGGGAGGGGAGAACUGAACACCAGCUGUUAUUGGCAGAGCAGGUUGUAACUCUCUCUCUUAAUGGUCUAUUAACUAAUUGUACCGCCUGGUGUUGACACCAGGCAGGCCAAAACUCCAUCCCACCACAACAGGUUGACAUUUCAUGCAAUCUUUUCAAACAGCUCUUACGCUAAAAGGACAUUAUCAUUUUCACUAUGUCACAGUAUUAUUCCAACCUCAUAGUGUGGAAUAUAUAAAACCAGGAAAAUCACGUUUUGGACUGCACUGGACCUUUAAAGAAUUGGUGGGAACAAUAUGAAAUUACUCGUGACAAUUGAAGCUGCACUUCAAUUAUCCAUAACAUUUUUUUGUAGUUGUUGCAGUUUUGUGUGUGUGUUUCUUAAAUAAGUAUGUGAUGAACAACAGUUUUGCUCUCAAUGCUUGUAAAACAAUUUUCUAAAAUAUUAUGUAAGUGCAAUAACUUACUUUACUAUAGUAACUCACACAAAAUAUAUAUGAGAACAUAAACACAAGUAAAAGUAUACCAUCAUUAUUAAAAAGCCGUACAAUAUAGCUUAAAGCCACAAAAACCUUUCAAAAUACUUGGAAACUCAACAAACCAAGAACACCCAGCCCCUUCAGAAGGAUCACUCAAAAAUCAACCCACAAGAAUCUCACAAAGAUAAAGCAAUACUUUACAUCAAAUUAGUAACAUUUCAAGGGUCUUUGUAAAUUACUGUAAAUCAGUCCAAUUUACAUUAAAAAAAAAAAUGUUUUACAUGCACACACAACACACAGUUUUAUAUUAUAAGUAUUUACUUAUUUUUAUUGCCCUGCUUCAGUAGUAUUAGAAAUGAUAGGGGUGGUGUGAAAGGUGACAUCAUCACCGAGGGACAGACUGGGACCCCUGCAGGCUACAACAGGAUGAGCUGAUAUACAAGCCGUUUCGCAACUACUUAAAUUCUGCAUAUCUGAUCAGUUAAGGCCCUAAGGCAAGCUGUGCCUCGAUUAGGGUAGAUGAGAAAGAGAAUAAUUACAUAUUAACCUGUGAUUCAUCCAAGAAGGCUUCAUAUGGGCUUGUACGUUUCUGCAGCUUUCGGUUUUGUCCUUCUCAAUCAAUAGAGAACUGCAGAUAACAGAAUAUGUCUAUAAAUAAAGAAAUUAAAAUGUUUUCAAAAACAUUACGAAAAAGGUAAACAAAUCAACUCUGUGUCAACCUGAGCUUCAUGUGUUUGAGCUCUGAGAAGCACCCAACCCAGCACUGUAAACCCUACAAGCCCUAGUCAGAGACAGCUAUAGGCCAACCUGAAGCACAGGGCCACAGGCGGCUCUGUCUGUUCCGUCACACAAUCCCAGAAAGAAUCCCUGUCCACAGAUGUCCCAGUGUUAAUUAAAAAGGCUGCAGCCUGGCUGUGCGGCUGUGUAUGGCCGUAGUGCCGGAGGGGCAGGCAUUCGGCCAGAGGAGCGAGAGGGAGAGCCCUAGUGCAGUGUGGGGCUUCUUUGAAAACGGAGCCAUGACAGCUGAGGGGAAGCAUGUGCGAGGCAUGUUUGUUUUGCAUUUAUCCCCUGAGCGCAGCUGUGUGCACUGUCCUUUUCCCAGAACACCGGAACGCCGCGGCCCGUUCGCCCUCCCAGCAACCCCUUAGAGCGGCCUAUGAGAGCACAGGGGCCCCAUCUCCAAACCUCAGAGGAGCACCUCCAAACACAGAGACAAGCCAUGUUGUCAGCAGUAUGUUCAUGCAUUAGGCUUGAACUGCCAUGUAAAACUGGAUCCAAUCUGAGUCGUCAUUUGGAAAGGGUUUCUGACCCACUGUAGAUGCUGACAGUUCAUCCUGGAUCGUACAUAACACUAUAUCCUAGCAGAGCUUCCUAGUGUAGAUGCUGACAGUUCAUCCUGGAUCGUACAUAACACUAUAUCCUAGCAGAGCUACCUAGUGUAGAUGCUGACAGUUCAUCCUGGAUCGUACAUAACACUAUAUCCUAGCAGAGCUACCUAGUGUAGAUGCUGACAGUUCAU